AGCUUUGCGCAGUGGCAGUAUCGUAGCCAAUGAGGUUUAUCCGAGGCGCGAUUAUUGCUAAAAACCAUUAACCUAGGGGC
ensembl:snRNA U4 U4 spliceosomal RNA